rnacentral:rRNA from 1 species
AGUGAACGCUGGCGGCAUGCCUAACACAUGCAAGUCGAACGGCAGCACAGGAAGAUCUUGCUCUUACGGGUGGCGACUGGCGGAUGGGUGACGAAUACAUCGCCAUCUACUUUUUCUUGGGGGAUAACGUAGGGAAACUUCCGCUACUACCGCAUACGAUCUACGGGUGAAAUCAGGGGAUCUUCGGACCUUGCCCGUUUGAAUGAGCCGAUGCCGCAUUAGCUAGUUGGCUAGGUAACGGCCCACCAAGGCGACGAUCCGUAGCUGGCCUGAGAGGAUGAUCAGCCACACUGGAACUGAGACACGGUCCAGACUCCUACGGGAGGCAGCAGUGGGGAAUAUUGGACAAUGGGCGAAAGCCUGAUGCAGCAAUGCCGCGUGGGUGAAGAAGGUCUUCGGGUUGUAAAGCCCUUUUGUUAGGGAAGAAAAGCUGCAGAAUAAAACCCGGAUGUUCUGACGGUACCCAAAGAGUAAGCAACGGCUAACUACGUG